UACAGAGGUCUCAAGCGUUGUUCGGAUUCACUGGGCGUAAAGGGUGCGCAGGCGCCAUGUGUGUGAGGCGUGAAAGCCCGAUGCUUAACAUCGGAAUUGCACCUCAAACUACAUGGCUAGAGCAUUGGAGAGGGUAGCGGAAUUCACGGUGUAGCAGUGAAAUGCGUAGAUAUCGUGAGGAACACCAGAGGCGAAGGCGGCUACCUGGACAAUUGCUGACGCUCAGGCACGAAAGCGUGGGGAGCAAAAGGG
rnacentral:rRNA from 1 species